rnacentral:rRNA from 1 species
CAUCGCGGUGGCGGAGCGUCGUUUGCGACGCCCAACACACAAAACAAGCGGUGAGUGCUUUGGGGUGGGGUGACUGCGUACCUUUUGUAUAAUGGGUCAGCGACUUAUAUUCUGUAGCAAGGUUAACCGUAUAGGGGAGCCGAAGGGAAACCGAGUCUUAACUGGGCGUUAAGUUGCAGGGUAUAGACCCGAAACCCGGUGAUCUAGCCAUGGGCAGGUUGAAGGUUGGGUAACACUAACUGGAGGACCGAACCGACUAAUGUUGAAAAAUUAGCGGAUGACUUGUGGCUGGGGGUGAAAGGCCAAUCAAACCGGGAGAUAGCUGGUUCUCCCCGAAAGCUAUUUAGGUAGCGCCUCGUGAACUCAUCUUCGGGGGUAGAGCACUGUUUCGGCUAGGGGGUCAUCCCGACUUACCAACCCGAUGCAAACUGCGAAUACCGAAGAAUGUUAUCACGGGAGACACACGGCGGGUGCUAACGUCCGUCGUGAAGAGGGAAACAACCCAGACCGCCAGCUAAGGUCCCAAAGUCACAGUUAAGUGGGAAACGAUGUGGGAAGGCUCAGACAGCCAGGAUGUUGGCUUAGAAGCAGCCAUCAUUUAAAGAAAGCGUAAUAGCUCACUGGUCGAGUCGGCCUGCGCGGAAGAUGUAACGGGGCUAAACUGUGCACCGAAGCUGCGGCAGCGACGCUUAUGCGUUGUUGGGUAGGGGAGCGUUCUGUAAGCCUGCGAAGGUGUCCUGUGAGGGAUGCUGGAGGUAUCAGAAGUGCGAAUGCUGACAUAAGUAACGAUAA